rnacentral:lncRNA from 1 species
GCCAUCCCACCGCCGCACCUCGCGCGCCCGACUAGACGGGCGUCUGGCCCCCCGCGCGCCUCUCUCCUCCUUGCUGCUGCUGAUGCCCGCAACCUCCUGCUGCUGAAUCUCUUCCUCCUUCUCUCUCAAUGCCUGCUGCCGUCCUUCUCCUCCUCUUGUUGUUGCUGCUACUACUCUAUCACCAACUACUUCUCUUUUCUCAACCCCCCUGCUGCUACUUCUUCUCUCUUCAACCUGGCUGCUACUACCUCAACCUCCUGCUGCUUUUUUUCUUUCUCAUGCUCUCUGAAAUUUCUGUAAGAUUGAGACGCAUGUGAUGUGUAUUGUUCAGAUUUGACUAGUACUUAAAUAGCUAUGUGCUAUGUUUCAUACUUAUAAAUAUAGUUCUUCUUUAAUGUUUUCUUACUAGUUGUUGGCUACUUGACAAGAAGAUAUCAUGUCAGUGUGAUUUGUUGGUCUGUUAUUAGUUGAAUCUAUUCCCUGUGUAUUGUGGUUGCUGUAGAAACAUGGUCAGUUCAUAGCAUUUGUGUUAUAUAUAUACAAUCUUAUGGUGUCAAACAUUUCUGUCCUUGUCCUAUUAUCUUUGUUCUGUUUUUCAUCUCGUAUAUAUGUCUGCUAGAUAUGUUUGUGAUCAUCUCUUGUUACUUUCUUUCUGUCGAUGGUGAUGUCCUGUGUUAGUAUUUAGUUUCUAGAAUAAUAUGAAAAUACCAAAAAAAAAAGACAAAGUGAAGAUAAUCUGAACCUCCCCUUGCUUAUUUUCAUUUUCUUUGUCAUCAACUUUGGUUAGUUUAGGCUUAUAUUUCCUUGCAAUCAUCAUCUAAAUUCUGUUACCUAGCUUUAGCCGAGUAUAGUUGCCGUCGCCUAGUCCCUGAGGAGAACACGACACUCGUAGUUUGGGCGUAAAACCUUCACUAUAAUACAAUUGAUCAUUUUGGCGCCGUUGCCGGGGACUAGCAUCGAGCGAUUAUGUUAGCUAUAGACUAGGUUUAUUUUAGUUUCGUGUUUAAUUCAUCGUGUAUUUCUUUCUCUGUGUUUCUUUUAUAUUUUUUCCUUGUUGUUGCUUCGCUUAUUAGGAUACUAACAUUCUGACUAGUAUUUACUGUUUAUGAGUGUGCGUAGGAAAUCUGAUCUAUUUGCAGGUUGAUUGAUAGUUACACUUGGUGGAGAUAUGGCGAUGCUUCAUGAUGUUUGGAUGCCAAGCAACCAAUGCUAUUUCACAGGGCCACUUUGGCCAUCUUUUGAGGCAGAAAAUUUUGAGCUAAAGCCUGGUCUUAUUGCUUUGGUUCAACAACAACAGUUUGGAGGUCUGCUCACUGAGGAUCGCUAUGAGCACUUAUACCGAGUCAUGGAGUAUUCAGGUGUAGUCAAGUACCAUGGAGUUCCUCAAGAUGCUAUCAAGUGCAUGCUGUUCUCAUUCUCUCUCCGGGAUGAUGCUCAUGCUUGGUAUUGAUCCUUGCCAUCAGGAUCAUUCAGUUGGAACGAGAUAUCACAAGCUUUCUUGGAUAAAUAUUUCCCACUACACAAGCAGUCCGCAAUUCGAGAUGAGAUCCUCAGCUUCGUUCGGCGUGAAGGCAAGAGCUUGUAUGAUGCUCGGGAGAGAUACAAGGCUUUAUUCAGGAGAUGUCCUAACCACGGGCUCGAGAGAUGGUUAGAGCUAUAGAUAUUCUAUAGAGGAUUGACUUUGGACACUCGAGCUUACGUCGAUAUGGCAGCGGGUGGAGCUAUUACAAACAAGACACUUGAUGAAGCUUCUCUGCUGAUUGAGAGCAUAGCUUUCCACCAACUUCAGUGGUACAAUAAGAAGCCCACGUCUGAUUCAUUGGUUUGCUUGCAACAAAUCACUACACCUCAACCACCAAUUCUUACACAGAACCCUGAACCUCUAUCUCAGUGUGACAAGAUUGAGCUUGCAUGGAUUAUCUUUGACGAUGAUGACACCAUUCUAGUUGACACACACGCUACAGAUCAUAUGGAUACUAGUGUUGGAUAUUCGGUUUUGCAUUGUGAUGAUUCUUCCAUGGAUGAGCCAGAGCUACAAUUAGUUGUUUUUGAUAUUGAGGAGUCACCUUUAGUUGAUAUUGAUCAUGUGCUGCUAGAGCUAGAUAUGGAGAAGUUCACCUUCGAUGAUGUUAGCCGCAUUGCUUCCUCAACACUUGAGCCUGAGAUGGAGAGCUUCAUGGUUGAGUAUGGUGAGGUGGAUUCAGAUGUCAAGGAGCCAAGCUCUACUAUUUCACUUGUUGACAUGAGUCCGGUUGAAAUUUCUACUACCACACCUCACUUGGUAUCUUCAAUUGAGGUAGUCCUGAAGCUUCUUCCUAACUAUCUCAGGUAUGAUCUUAGCUUUCUGGACAAGACAUGUCAUAUCGCUGAUAUUGCCUAUGCCCCAUGUGACUUGUUGUUGAUACAUGUUCCUGAUUUGAUCAAUAGAUAUACUUAUAUGAUAGGGUACUCUAUCGAUGACUUAGAGGGCAUUCUCUCUGUCACUUGUAUUGGCUUGGUUGUUGAGUGUGCUUUCAGGUUUUUGCUUGUGCAUGAUCCAUUACAUGCUGACCAGGUUCGAGGUGACAUUCCUUGGGACCCUGGUGGACUUAGAGCAUGGGGAUGAGGAGAAGCAAGGGGGCACACUCGAGGAAGGGAGAAGCUGGAGCAGGCAUGAGGAUAGAGAAGCAAAAGGAGAGGAGCUGCAGUUGGUGAGGUGAUCGAGCGAGUGCUACUUCCUAUGAAAACCCGGUGAGCUGUUUCAUGACCCAUUCCUAGUAUAUCAUCCAUUGAUACAUGCUGAAAUCAAAUGUUAUUUGGGUUGCUUAAGCCAUGUCUUAAAUGUUGCCCCACUGAAUUUUACUUGACAUAUGGUGCUUGAUGAGAAUAUGUGAACUGAGUGUUGAAUGCCUGGUAAACUAGUGAUCUAUACAAUGCUUGCUUUGCUGAAAGUAGUGGAAGUUAUUAGUUUUGAGUGCUCAAAUCCCUAGUAUACUAGAAAAAUUAAUCAUUUUCUGCUUUUACCUUGAUACACCUAGAUCACCACGUUUAGAUGCUGAAUUUGUGCUAAGUGUGUUCCCAUUGAGAGCAAUCACCUAACCACUAUGGAUUAGCAUGCUAUGUUCCCUGGAUCGGUAGCAUGUGAACCAGACAUGGAGAAGUGAUGAUUCCUAUUUUUGUGCUUAUGUGUUGUUCAUUUAAGAUAAGUAAUAAUGAAUAAAUAAGUUUGACUACCUACAGUAGCAUGUCAUGUUCCCGGGAUCGGUGGCAUGUGAAAUCGGGUUAGCUUGGGCAGUAAUUAAUAAUAAAAAAUGUAAUUGUCGAACCAGGUGUAUACCAUGUUCUCGGGAUCAGUGGUAUGUUCCUUUGGGGAGACAAACAAAAAAAACUAAUAAUUGGUCGAGCCAGGUGUAUACCAUGUUCUCGGGAUCGGUGGUAUGUUCCUAUGGUGAGACUAAUAAUAAUAUAAUCAUUGCUUUAUCUCUGUACUUAAGUGAUUUGAUCACAAGAUUUAAUUCCAGUUCAUUUUGUUCUUGGGAUCAUGCUCUCUUUAGGAACCAUUUGGCGCAGUCAUCAUUUAAACUUGUUGAUCCUCUUUUAUCUCUGUAAAAGUUUAAAAUGGUCAUGCUUACUAGUAUCCUACUGCUUUGAAGCACUCCUAACCAUUAAUUUUCACUAGCUAAGUCUGAAGCAUGCCUUGUUUGGAGAUCUAUUUUACCAGGACAUUCCUUACUCAGUUUACUGUUCAUUAUCUUGCCUUUGUCAUAUUCCUUUGCUUGAGGACAAGCAAAGAUUUAAGUGUGGGGGAACUUGAUAAGCACAUUUCUUAUAUACUAUUUGGGCACACAAAUUCACCAUUUAUUGAGAUAUAUCCAUCCAUUCUUGCUAUGACUUGUUGAAUAUUCGAAUGAUAAUCAUAAAAGAGAAUGUUGACUAGUGAAUUGUUUAUUUUGCAGAAAAGUGCGCAAAGGCACUAUAAUCGUCAAGACUUCUACUAUGUGGCUAACGAGAAGAGAGAAGGGCAUGAAAGAAAUACGUCAAGGCUUGAGCGUGAAGGAAAGAAGUAAUGUAGGGGAGCAAACUAAAAGAAGAGGAGGAUCUUCUUGGGAAGAAAGAAGAAAGGAGGAGGGCCAAAGUAAAAAAAAGACAGAACAGAGGAGGGGAUCAAAAAUCCCUAGCGCAGCCGAUCCCCAUCGAGCCUGGCCACUGACCUCUCUCCCUCUCCCCUUCUUCUCCACCAUCGGCCGCCGCCAUGGCCAGGCCGGCGUGGUGGUGCGCCUCUCAGCCACCACACAGCUUCCACCAGCGCCGCCCAUCCACAUCUUCGCCGCCGCGCCAUACCAUCAACAACAUCCACCCCUCCAUCUGCACCACAGCGCCGCCAUCCCAUCGCCGCACCUCGCGCGCCCGACCAGACGGGCGUCUGGCCCCCUACGCGCCUCUCUCCUCCUUGCUGCUGCUGAUGCCCGCAACCUCCAGCUGUUGAAUCUCUUCCUCCUCUCUCAAUGCCUGCUGCCAUCCUGCUCCUCCUCUUGUUGCUGCUGCUACUACUCUAUCACCAAUUACUUCUCUUUUCUCAACCCCCUGCUGCUACUUCUUCUCUCUUCAACCUGGCUGCUACUACCUCAACCUCCCGCUGCUUUUUUUUUCUUUCUCAUGCUCUCUGAAAUUUCUGUAAGAUUGAGACGCAUGUGAUGUGUAUUGUUCAGAUUUGACUAGUACUUAAAUAGCUAUGUGCUCUGUUUCAUACUUAUAAAUAUAGUUCUUCUUUAAUGUUUUCUUACUAGUUGUUGGCUACUUGACAAGAAGAUAUCAUGUCAGUGUGAUUUGUUGGUCUGUUAUUAGUUGAAUCUAUUCCCUGUGUACUGUGGUUGCUGUAGAAACAUGGUCAGUUCGUAGCAUUUGUGUUAUAUAUAUACAAUCUUAUGGUGUCAAACAUUUCUGUCCUUGUCCUAUUAUCUUUGUUCUGUUUUUCAUCUCAUAUAUAUGUCUGCUAGAUAUAUUUGUGAUCAUCUCUUGUUACUUUCUUUCUGUCGAUGGUGAUGUCCUGUGUUAGUAUUUAGUUUCUAGAAUAAUAUGAAAAUACCAAAAAA